rnacentral:tRNA from 1 species
AGUUGGUAGCUCAGUGGUAGAGUGCAUGCUUUUUGUGUAUGGAGUCCUGGGUUCAAAUGCCAGCUGCUC